rnacentral:rRNA from 1 species
GCUAGCUACAGGCUUAACACAUGCAAGUCGAGGGGCAGCAUGGUCUUAGCUUGCUAAGGCCGAUGGCGACCGGCGCACGGGUGAGUAACACGUAUCCAACCUGCCGUCUACUCUUGGACAGCCUUCUGAAAGGAAGAUUAAUACAAGAUGGCAUCAUGAGUCCGCAUGUUCACAUGAUUAAAGGUAUUCCGGUAGACGAUGGGGAUGCGUUCCAUUAGAUAGUAGGCGGGGUAACGGCCCACCUAGUCUUCGAUGGAUAGGGGUUCUGAGAGGAAGGUCCCCCACAUUGGAACUGAGACACGGUCCAAACUCCUACGGGAGGCAGCAGUGAGGAAUAUUGGUCAAUGGGCGAGAGCCUGAACCAGCCAAGUAGCGUGAAGGAUGACUGCCUUAUGGGUUGUAAACUUCUUUUAUAAAGGAAUAAAGUCGGGUAUGGAUACCCGUUUGCAUGUACUUUAUGAAUAAGGAUCGGCUAACUCCGUGCCAGCAGCCGCGGUAAUACGGAGGAUUCGAGCGUUAUCCGGAUUUAUUGGGUUUAAAGGGAGCGUAGAUGGAUGUUUAAGUCAGUUGUGAAAGUUUGCGGCUCAACCGUAAAAUUGCAGUUGAUACUGGAUAUCUUGAGUGCAGUUGAGGCAGGCGGAAUUCGUGGUGUAGCGGUGAAAUGCUUAGAUAUCACGAAGAACUCCGAUUGCGAAGGCAGCCUGCUAAGCUGCAACUGACAUUGAGGCUCGAAAGUGUGGGUAUCAAACAGGAUUAGAUACCCUGGUAGUCCACACGGUAAACGAUGAAUACUCGCUGUUUGCGAUAUACGGCAAGCGGCCAAGCGAAAGCGUUAAGUAUUCCACCUGGGGAGUACGCCGGCAACGGUGAAACUCAAAGGAAUUGACGGGGGCCCGCACAAGCGGAGGAACAUGUGGUUUAAUUCGAUGAUACGCGAGGAACCUUACCCGGGCUUAAAUUGCAGAUGAAUUACGGUGAAAGCCGUAAGCCGCAAGGCAUCUGUGAAGGUGCUGCAUGGUUGUCGUCAGCUCGUGCCGUGAGGUGUCGGCUUAAGUGCCAUAACGAGCGCAACCCUUGUUGUCAGUUACUAACAGGUUCUGCUGAGGACUCUGACAAGACUGCCAUCGUAAGAUGUGAGGAAGGUGGGGAUGACGUCAAAUCAGCACGGCCCUUACGUCCGGGGCUACACACGUGUUACAAUGGGGGGUACAGAGGGCCGCUACCACGCGAGUGGAUGCCAAUCCCAAAAACCUCUCUCAGUUCGGACUGGAGUCUGCAACCCGACUCCACGAAGCUGGAUUCGCUAGUAAUCGCGCAUCAGCCACGGCGCGGUGAAUACGUUCCCGGGCCUUGUACACACCGCCCGUCAAGCCAUGGGAGCCGGGGGUACCUGAAGUGCGUAACCGCGAGGAGCGCCCUAGGGUAAAACUGG